rnacentral:rRNA from 1 species
UACGUAGGGUGCGAGCGUUAAUCGGAAUUACUGGGCGUAAAGCGUGCGCAGGCGGUUUUGUAAGCCAGAUGUGAAAUCCCCGGGCUUAACCUGGGAAUGGCAUUUGGGACUGCAAGGCUUGAGUGCGGCAGAGGAGACUGGAAUUCCUGGUGUAGCAGUGAAAUGCGUAGAGAUGUGGAGGAAUACCGAUGGCGAAGGCAGCCCCCUGGGAUGACACUGACGCUGAAGCACGAAAGCGUGGGGAGCAAACAGG